UAUAUGCUGGAAUGCUUUAUGCGUAAAAUGGAUUCGUCUGCCCAAGGAUGGGUCUGCGGCCUAUCAGGUAGUAUUGGGUGUAAUGUACCUACUAGCCUACAACGGGUACGGGUUGUGAGAGCAAGAGCCCGGAGAUGGAUUCUGAGACAUGAAUCCAGGCCCUACGGGGCGCAGCAGGCGCGAAAACUUUACAAUGCGGGAAACCGUGAUAAGGGGACACCGAGUGCCAGCAUCAUAUGCUGGCUGUCCAGAUGUGUAAAAUACAUCUGUUAGCAAGGGCCGGGCAAGACCGGUGCCAGCCGCCGCGGUAACACCGGCGGCCCGAGUGGUGAUCGUGAUUAUUGGGUCUAAAGGGUCCGUAGCCGGUUUGGUCAGUCCUCCGGGAAAUCUGAUAGCUCAACUAUUAGGCUUUCGGGGGAUACUGCCAGGCUUGGAACCGGGAGAGGUAAGAGGUACUACAGGGGUAGGAGUGAAAUCUUGUAAUCCCUGUGGGACCACCUGUGGCGAAGGCGUCUUACCAGAACGGGUUCGACGGUGAGGGACGAAAGCUGGGGGCACGAACCGGAUUAGAUACCCGGGUAGUCC
rnacentral:rRNA from 1 species